AACGAACGCUGGCGGCGUGCUUAACACAUGCAAGUCGAACGGUAAGGCCCUUCGGGGUACACGAGUGGCGAACGGGUGAGUAACACGUGGGUGAUCUGCCCUGCACUUCGGGAUAAGCCUGGGAAACUGGGUCUAAUACCGGAUAGGACCACUGCCUACAGGGGGGGUGGUGGAAAGCUUUUGCGGUGUGGGAUGGGCCCGCGGCCUAUCGGCUUGUUGGUGGGGUGAUGGCCUACCAAGGCGACGACGGGUAGCCGGCCUGAGAGGGUGACCGGCCACACUGGGACUGAGAUACGGCCCAGACUCCUACGGGAGGCAGCAGUGGGGAAUGUUGCACAAUGGGCGCAAGCCUGAUGCAGCGACGCCGCGUGAGGGAUGACGGCCUUCGGGUUGUAAACCUCUUUCAGCACCGACGAAGCGCAAGUGACGGUAGGUACAGAAGAAGGACCGGCCAACUACGUGCCAGCCGCCGCAGUAACAC
rnacentral:rRNA from 1 species